UACGAAGGGGGCUAGCGUUGUUCGGAAUUACUGGGCGUAAAGGGCGCGUAGGCGGCUUCGAUAGUCGGGUGUGAAAUGCCUGGGCUCAACCCAGGACUGCACUCGAAACUCCGAGGCUAGAGUGUGGGAGAGGAUAGUGGAAUUCCCAGUGUAGAGGUGAAAUUCGUAGAUAUUGGGAAGAACACCGGUGGCGAAGGCGGCCUUCUGGGACCGAUCUUGACGCUGAGACGCGAAAGCGUGGGGGAGCAAACAGG
rnacentral:rRNA from 1 species